rnacentral:misc_RNA from 1 species
AAGUGACCAAUUCAUAUCAAAAGGCGAGUAUUUCACUAACUCUACAGAUGUUUUAGAUUAUUAGAUUCUUUUAUUUUGAGGAAGUCCUUUUCAUGCUUUUUGAUUAAUGGCUUAAUUAAAUCUCUUUAGAGAUUGCAACAUUAAAAUGCACAUGCAUAUUCAUUUCCUCCUAUGAGUUUUUAGAAGGUCUUCCAAAUUAGUGAACACAAUUUCGAAGACAGUGCAUCUGUUCAAUUUUGUUCUUAAUGAAUGCCUGCAAACAUUUUAUGAUGGUUUCAAGUUUUUCCAGCUGUGCACUUUGGUUUGGCUGCUUGAACCUUAGUUGAAAGCUGGAAUGGUUGAUUAUAAAACUGUCACCAACUUAGCUGUUUGUCAAGAAAAUGCAAUAGCAUUUGCUUUGGUUUUGUGAAACAGUUGAUUUUUUUUUUCCUAAUGAUUUUUAAAGCAAGUUUAUGUUAUAGUGAUGAUAAAAGGAAAAUUUGGCUUCCUAGAGGAUGAAUUCUGGGUUUUACUUUCUGCACAUCUUAUUCUUCAUACUAGUUUAUUUUUUUGGAUUCUCCACAUGCACAACUUCAGGAAUUUCCCCUCGUACUGGUUUAGUAGUUUGGAUUUUGGGUUUUACUGCUUUAUAGGUUUGAAGUUGCAGAGGCUGGU